AUGCCAAGGAUCUCGUCAACGGUGGGGAUCACUGGGCAAGACAAAAAUAAGCGGAUGUCAUCAUCUUUCAGCCGAACCAUGCCUGGGGCGGCGACAGACGCAGGCUCGGGCUUCGACUCUUCCACGAUCCUGUCGAUCGCCUCCUCCAAUUGCUUUGAUGUCAACGCUUUCGACUCAGGGAAGGUUAGCAGCGUCUCCUUGAUUCUUUUCCUUAGAGCUUCGCCGUCUUCCGGGAUGAGGUCCAGGGUGAGUAGGCCCGCCCAAUCGGCCGCCCUCGGCAGCCCCAGGAACAUGUCCGACGCCCCCGCAUGCGCCGGGAACAUGUUCAACGCCUCGCAUGCCCCGGCCGACUUCCUUUUGAGAGGGCAUGCCCUCAACGGACCAUCCUCGCCGGUCACUGCAUCCUCCGGCGCGUUGGUGGUGAGCGAAAAAGUGCCCUUCUCGACGGUCGCUGCGUCCUCCACCGGACUAGGUUUGGUGGUGGAGCACGGCCUCAGCGCAAAAACGCCGUUUUCGCCCGUCGUCGCCGCCUCCAUCGCCAUAUGUUUGGCGGUGGCGCACGGCGUCAACGAAAAAGCCCCCUUUUCGCCGGUCACCGCCUCCUCUACCAGCAUGUGA
rnacentral:rRNA from 1 species